GGUUAACGUAUUUAUGGCCGCGAUUGGAAGUACGAAGUUAGAGUCAAUCAUUGAAGAUGUUGUGCCCACGCAUGGUACAGAAAAGGAACAGAAAGCACAAGAA